GACGUAGGGCGCGAGCGUUGUCCGGAUUUAUUGGGCGUAAAGAGCUCGUAGGCGGUUUGUCGCGUCGUCUGUGAAAACCCACGGCUCAACUGUGGGCUUGCAGUCGAUACGGGCAGGCUAGAGUUCGGUAGGGGAGACUGGAAUUGCUGGUGUAGCGGUGAAAUGCGCAGAUAUCAGGAGGAACACCGGUGGCGAAGGCGGGUCUCUGGGCCGAUACUGACGCUGAGGAGCGAAAGCGUGGGGAGCGAACAGG
rnacentral:rRNA from 1 species